rnacentral:rRNA from 1 species
GUCUAUGGCCAUGCCACCCUGAACAAGCCCGAUCCCGUCUGAUCUCAGAAGCUAAGCAGGGUCGAGCCCUGUCUGAUCUCGAAAGCUAAGCAGGGUUGAGCCUGGUUAGUACUUAGAUGGGAGACUACCUAGGAAAACCGGGUGCUGUAGGCG